GGGCGCGAGCGCGCGGGGGACGUAGGGCGCCGACCUGGGCCUCCCCGGCGCUCCGGCUCCGCUCAGGGCGCCCGCUCAGGGGCCUCCGGCGCGAGGCCCCCUUCGUGGUCAAGAUGGCGGCGCCCAGGCGGGCCGCGCCGAGGUGAGCUGGAGCCGGGCCCGGAGAGGGGUGAGUCGGCCACUCCCAGGACUUGGACCCCGGGCUGGUCUCCCGUCUCCCGGGGAGCGGUGGGUUGAUGGGCGCUACGGGAUAAGGAAAAGGAUGUGAAGCUCACUGAAGAGGCUUGGGUUGGGAGUGCUGGAGGAGUGUACAGGUGGGGAAAAUGUACCAGCGUGUAUGCCUACUGGGACCACGUUUUCCAGAACAGUUAAGCCCAGUGUCAACUGUGCUGUCCCACCUUCCUCUCUUAGUGAGAAGAGAGCAGGCUGAAUGGAAGAAAGUCAUUAUGACCACUGGGGCCACUAAGGGGUGUCCAGAGAAGGUAACUACUUUGCCCACGUCCUAAACUGGCUGCAGGUUCGUAGUUCCUGCUGUUUUUGGUGUCUGCCCCCAAUGGCUAAGGUCCCUGUUCGAGUGCCACUUGCCGCGGACCAGCCGGAGAAAGAGGAUCUCACCGCCCAGGGUCAGAAGGGAAGGGGACAUUUCAUCUUGACAAUCUGCACAUCUGGGAGACUAUCAAGAAAUGCUUUGAGGUCGAUGCCAUUCAGCACAAUCCGAUUGUCAUAAAUGUGCCCAUUGGACUUAAAAUCGAUGACUGCCUUCUUCUUCAGCUGCAUGCAGUGUCUCUCAGCUGCCUCAAAAUCUCCUGCCUGAUAUUCUCGAUGUGCCAACUCAGCUAACCCUUGGAAGGAAAGCAUACGUUUCGUUGGUUCUGUGCUGUCGGCCACGUUGCCCACAGAAGACGCCAUCUGGAGCUUCUGGAGAGAGUGAGAAAAAGGGGAAUAACUUCCAGUACUCAUACUGACUACUCUACUGACUUAACUAGCACAAGACACAGAAGCAUAAGGACAAACACCACCUUACAAUAUAGCCAUGUCUUGCACUUCACAGCUCUCAAAGCAUGUGCGUUUGAAGAAGAAAAAAAGAACUGAAAAGUACAAAACCAGAAGCUAAUCUGUGGAAAAUUAUUUCAAUCAUCAGGCAUGUGAAAGAUAAGUCAAAGAUUCAGUUCUCAUCAAUGCUUAGUCAAAACGGAAAUUUUCUUCUGUCAAGAAUAUACUCCAGGGGCUUCCCUGAUGGCGCAGUGGUUAAGAAGCCACCUGCCAAUGCAGGGGACAAGGGUUCGAGUCCUGGUCCGGGAAGAUCCCACAUGUCACGGAGCAACUAAGCCAGUGUGCCACAACUACGGAACCUGCGCUCUAGAGCCCGUGAGCCACGACUAUUGAGCCUGCGAGCCACAACUACUGAAGCCUCCGUGCCUAGCGCCCGUGCUCUGCAACAAGAGAAGCCACCGCAAUGAGAAGCCUGUGCACCGCAACGAAGAGUAGCCCCCACUCCCUGCAAGUAGAGAAAGCCUGCGCACAGCAACGAAGACCCAACACAGCCAAAAAUAAAUAAAUAAAUAAAUAAAUGAAUGAAUGAAUGAAUAUACUCCGUCAACAAUGUGUGUAAUGGAAUGGUGUGAAUGAGUAUUUUAUCAGAAUCCCUGUAAAGCACAAACCUAUAGCAGUACUGAAAUCAGUAAUGCAUUUAUAAUAGUAAAUACUUAUGAGGAAGUAAUCCAUAGAGGUUUUCUCAAAGUUAACAAUGAAAAUUAAUGUGACAUUAUCAAUAAUAAAUUGUGAAGCUGAAAUAAACUUUUCUAAACUAUUAAUAACUAGAAGCAAAUUCUAAUCAACCAUGGUACAAGAAAUCUAUGUCUAAAAACUACAAAGUUUAUUUCUUAAAAUUUUAUUUCGAAAAUACAUAAACUGUCGUAUGAGGAGGCAGUUAAAGAAUAUAUAGCUAAAAGAGUGGGGAAAAAGUUUUAUAGAGACACAUCUGGCAGUAGUUAAUUUUUAAAUGUCAUUUUUCUAGAUUUUGUGACACCUAUAGUAUUGAUAUUUGAAAGCAUUUAAAAAAUUGUAAUUUGAAGAUUUGCUACUUCCAGGUAGAAUAAAAUAUUUUGAAGCAAAACAACGUUUCCACUGAGAAAAACAAAAAAAGCCAAAUAAAAUAGCCAGCAUUCAAUCAAAAACGGACUUGAGGAUAUGGGGAGGGGGAAGGGUCAUCUGUGACAAAGUGGGAGAGAGGCAUAGACAUAUAUACACUAACAAACGUAAGGUAGAUAACUAUUGGGAAGCAGCCGCGUAGCACAGGGAUAUCAGCUCGGUGCUUUGUG